CCACAUUCAACCGAACAAAAUAUUUUUUAUUUAAUUUCGAUUCGAACCAACUUAUUUCUUUAAAUGGGAAAAAAAAUGUUGGAUUAACUUAAAUCGGAACCAUAACAACUAGAACUCAGAAAUCGCAACUCAUCAAAACACCCUAUAUCAUCGGGGAAGCUCCAAACCGUUCAACUAAAAAGGACCUAAUCGUUAGCAUUAAAUAAAAAAACAAAAUAAAAUAAACCCUAAUUGUGGGCAAGGGUGUAGGAAACUCGAAGAUUGAUGUAACACAAACAGUAACAUUGUCUAGAAUACACUACAGAAUUGACCCAGAAAUACAAAGACCAACCUAACAAUCUAACAAUCUAACCAGCAAGGAUUUAUAAUGCACUGACUCAUUUCACUAAAACGUACCAUAAAUUCACAAGGAGAAAGUGACUAAUUUAAACAAACAAAUCUAUAUUAAGUGAAAAAAAUAAAAAUUAAAAAAAAAUAAGAAUUCACAAGAGAUGGUAUCAAUAUUCCAUUGUCAUCACUGAAACAGAAUCAGGUUCAUAACCGUGCACCCUAAGGCGAUAAAUGCAAGUAUGGGAUGAGCUUCCAUGGUUGGAUACGAAAUCCAGCCUAACAGUGUCAACAACACGAGAGGCUGCAGAGUCCAACACAGCAAAGGUCUGAGCAUUGCUCUUAUCAAGGUCAUAAGUGAAUUCAGUUAAAAGAAACAUCUUCUCAGUAUGAAUUGCAAGAUCUAUGUCAUUCCCCUGCAGCCACCCAGACACCCGACAG
rnacentral:misc_RNA from 1 species